GGGGCCAUGGUCUAACAGCAUGACGCCACGCCGCCAGCGUGGAUGUCCCGGUGCGAGUCCGGGUGGCCCCU
rnacentral:tRNA from 1 species